rnacentral:tRNA from 1 species
AUAGCGGUAGUUCAGUGGUAGAAUGCUCGCCUGCCACGCGGGCGGCCCGGGUUCGUUUCUCGGCCGAUACA